AUUCCUACGGGGGGCAGCAGUGAGGAAUAUUGGUCAAUGGGCUUACGCCUGAACCAGCCAAGUCGCGUGAGGGAAGACUGCCCUAUGGGUUGUAAACCUCUUUUGUCGGGGAGCAAAAGACGCCACGCGUGGCGUUCCGAGAGUACCCGAAGAAAAAGCAUCGGCUAACUCCGUGCCAGCAGCCGCGGUAAUACGGAGGAUCCGAGCGUUAUCCGGAUUUAUUGGGUUUAAAGGGAGUGUAGAUGGGUUGUUAAGUCAGUUGUGAAAGUUUGCGGCUCAACCGUAAAAUUGCCAUUGAUACUGGC
rnacentral:rRNA from 1 species